GUACGGGGGGGGCAAGCGUUGCUCGGAAUCACUGGGCGUAAAGGGUGCGUAGGCGGGUCUUUUAAGUCAGGGGUGAAAUCCUGGAGCUCAACUCCAGAACUGCCUUUGAUACUGAAGAUCUUGAGUUCGGGGAGAGGUGAGUGGAACUGCGAGUGUAGAGGUGAAAUUCGUAGAUAUUCGCAAGAACACCAGUGGCGAAGGCGGCUCACUGGCCCGGUACUGACGCUGAGGUGCGAAAGCGUGGGGAGCAAACAGG
rnacentral:rRNA from 1 species